rnacentral:misc_RNA from 1 species
GAUGAAGAACGUAGCGAAAUGCGAUAAGUAGUGUGAAUUGCAGAAUUCCGUGAAUCAUCGAAUCUUUGAACGCACAUUGCGCCUUCUGGUAUUCCGGAAGGCAUGCCUGUUCGAGAGUCAUUAACAACCGUUUCGAUCCCUUUCUUUCAGAAAUUACAAAGAGGAAAAGGGUUUGGUUAUGGUGGAGGAGGGAAAGGGAGCGUUUAGCCUGUAAAAAAAGAGGCUGUGUUCCGCCUCCCCCCCAAAAUUGUACAGGCGGUCGUGUGCGCCCACGCAUCGAGGUGUUGUAAAAGCUGCCACGGCACUUUUCACCUGUGCAGUGCGAGAUUGGCCAGCCGGUUUAAAAACCCCUCCAAACAAUCAAAUGUUGACCUCGGAUCAGGUAGGGAUACCCGCUGAACUUAAGCAUAUCAAUAAGCGGAGGA